rnacentral:rRNA from 1 species
AAUGAACGCUGGCGGCGUGCUUAACACAUGCAAGUCGUACGAGAACGCUUCAGCUUGCUGAAGCUAGUAAAGUGGCGUACGGGUGAGUAACGCGUGGGUAAUCUACCUUCGAAUUGGGGAUAACGUUGCGAAAGUGACGCUAAUACCGAAUAACAUCAUAGAGACCUCGGUUUUUAUGAUCAAAGAUGGCCUCUCCUUGGAAGCUAUUGUUUGGAGAUGAGCCCGCGUCCCAUUAGCUUGUUGGUGGGGUAAUGGCCUACCAAGGCGACGAUGGGUAGCUGGUCUGAGAGGAUGAUCAGCCACACUGGAACUGACACACGGUCCAGACUCCUACGGGAGGCAGCAGUGAGGAAUUUUGCGCAAUGGGGGAAACCCUGACGCAGCAACGCCGCGGGAGUGAUGAAGGCUUUCGGGUGGUAAAGCUCUGU